rnacentral:lncRNA from 1 species
AGCGCAGGGAAGGGCAGAGGUUGGAGGAGCCAGUCCAACCAGUCAGAGCCCAGUUGUGCCUCCCAGUUGUGCUCACUCAGCACCUGGGGCUGUUCCCAGCCACACAAACCCGGCGUGAGCAGAGCUCAGCACUGCCCAGGGCCUGCACACUGCCAGGGGCUCACACACCAUCAGCCUCGGGGUCACAGCGAUCCACAGGCCAUGGAAAUGUCCUGCAGGCCCCAGGCUGAGCUUCCUGCAGCAGCGCAGAGGGCUGGGCUGGGUGCGGGUGCUGGAUCACCCCAGUCACAGAAUCGGCGCCCAAACCCCGCAGAUCAGCAGCAGCAGGGCCACAGAGCAGCCCCCACAGGGCCCUGGAUCGCAGCUGUGCCCUGCAGGGACCCAGAGCCUCCUUCCCCCGGGCAGGGCAGGGCACCCAUCUCCCUCGGGUUUAUUGCAGCUCCCUGCGGUCGCACUAAGCAGCUUUGGGGCACCGAGAUCCAGCGACAGCACAACACGUGGACAGCGCGGCCAGGAAACCCUUGUGGAAGCCUUGGGAACGUACAAGUGGCCCUGGGUACCUGCAGGCUCAGCAGGAGGAGCAGCCAAGGAGCACCUGAGGAGUUUCUGCUGGGGACACACACAUACACACAGACCCAGCUCUGAUGCAGAAAAUCCCAUAAUCACCCUCAGCUGCCAAGGAACAGCAUCAGCUCAGGCGCACGGCACUGACCUCAGCAAGGGCUGUGUCAUAAUCCGUUUUUCAGACUGGCCACAACUUCCAGUGCGAGGCAGAGCUGACAAAGGCAGAAGGGCAAAUCCUGGAGCCCAGCUGGCCGAGGCUGAGGGCGGCCAGGCUGUUUUAUGUGGUUCAAAUAAGGUGUCCUCUUUGGGCCUGACAAAGAGAAAGAUGUAUCAGUUCAUGAACUGCUGCUGCCUGAGCAAGCCAGCCAAACUCUGCCCUCCUCAUUGCCUGUUCCCGACUGAGUCCCGGGCAGAGCAGAGCUCUCUCAUCCCGCCGGGAUCCGGAGCUGGACGUGCUCUGCAGCUUACCCAGGCUGGGGAGGAAUCGCACCAAACCGUGCUCGUCCCUGGGCAUUUAGUUUUAUUGCGAGCAUUAGCGGUUUGUCUCCUCUGGCAACAGGAGAAGCUGGAAAUGUCAAAGGGGAGGGUUAACAAACUCCGCUG